rnacentral:tRNA from 1 species
CUUCUGUGUUGUUCAGGUAUGUAUGAGGCGGGUUACCAACCCGCCGGGGGCCUUGUCGGGCCCGUGGAUCAGCAUCCUUGACGGACGC